rnacentral:rRNA from 1 species
UUUCCCUCUUUCUUCCGGCCUAACACAUGCAAGUCUAGCGGAUGAAGGGAGCUUGCUCCUGGAUUCAGCGGCGGACGGGUGAGUAAUGCCUAGGAAUCUGCCUGGUAGUGGGGGAUAACGUCCGGAAACGGGCGCUAAUACCGCAUACGUCCUGAGGGAGAAAGUGGGGGAUCUUCGGACCUCACGCUAUCAGAUGAGCCUAGGUCGGAUUAGCUAGUUGGUGGGGUAAAGGCCUACCAAGGCGACGAUCCGUAACUGGUCUGAGAGGAUGAUCAGUCACACUGGAACUGAGACACGGUCCAGACUCCUACGGGAGGCAGCAGUGGGGAAUAUUGGACAAUGGGCGAAAGCCUGAUCCAGCCAUGCCGCGUGUGUGAAGAAGGUCUUCGGAUUGUAAAGCACUUUAAGUUGGGAGGAAGGGCAGUAAGUUAAUACCUUGCUGUUUUGACGUUACCAACAGAAUAAGCACCGGCUAACUUCGUG